GGCAGUUCUUGGGUGAUACACCCCAGAAUCAGGUUCCCUCCUCUCUGGUUCCGUAUGUGUCACCAGAGAACUGCC
rfam:Myotis lucifugus cont2.1100, whole genome shotgun sequence.